rnacentral:rRNA from 1 species
GACGAACGCUGGCGGCGUGCUUAACACAUGCAAGUCGAACGGAAAGGCCCUGCUUUUGUGGGGUGCUCGAGUGGCGAACGGGUGAGUAACACGUGAGUAACCUGCCCUUGACUUUGGGAUAACUUCAGGAAACUGGGGCUAAUACCGGAUAGGAGCUCCUGCUGCAUGGUGGGGGUUGGAAAGUUUCGGCGGUUGGGGAUGGACUCGCGGCUUAUCAGCUUGUUGGUGGGGUAGUGGCUUACCAAGGCUUUGACGGGUAGCCGGCCUGAGAGGGUGACCGGCCACAUUGGGCCUGAGAUACGGCCCAGACUCCUACGGGAGGCAGAAGUGGGGAAUAUUGCACAAUGGGCGGAAGCCUGAUGCAGCAACGCCGCGUGCGGGAUGACGGCCUUCGGGGUGUAAACCGCUUUCGCCUGUGACGAAGCGUGAGUGACGGUAAUGGGUAAAGAAGCACCGGCUAACUACGUG